rnacentral:tRNA from 1 species
GGAUGAUUAGCUCAGUUGGUAGAGCAACUGACUCUUAAUCAGUGGGCCUAGGGUUCGAGUCCCUAAUCGUCCACCA